rnacentral:rRNA from 1 species
AUACGGAGGGUGCAAGCGUUAUCCGGAUUUACUGGGUUUAAAGGGUGCGCAGGCGGUAAUUUAAGUCAGUGGUGAAAGCCUACAGCUCAACUGUAGAACUGCCAUUGAAACUGAAUUACUUGAGUGUGGUAGAGGUAGGCGGAAUACAACAUGUAGCGGUGAAAUGCAUAGAUAUGUUAUAGAACACCGAUUGCGAAGGCAGCUUACUAAACCAUUACUGACGCUCAGGCACGAAAGCGUGGGGAGCGAACAGGAUUAGAUACCCUAGUAGUCC